AGCGAACGCUGGCGGCAGGCCUAACACAUGCAAGUCGAACGAACCCUUCGGGGUUAGUGGCGGACGGGUGAGUAACACGUGGGAACGUGCCUUUAGGUUCGGAAUAACUCAGGGAAACUUGUGCUAAUACCGAAUGUGCCCUUCGGGGGAAAGAUUUAUCGCCUUUAGAGCGGCCCGCGUCUGAUUAGCUAGUUGGUGAGGUAAAGGCUCACAAAGGCUACGAUCAGUAGCUGGUCUGAGAGGAUGACCAGCCACAUUGGGACUGGGACACGGCCCAAACUCCUACGGGAGGCAGCAGUGGGGAAUCUUGCGCAAUGGGCGAAAGCUGACGCAGCCAUGCCGCGUGGAUGAUGAAGGUCUUAGGAUUGUAAAAUCCUUUCACCGGUGAAGAUAAUGACUGUAGCCGGAGAAGAAGCCCCGGCUAACUUCGUGCCAGCCGCCGCGGUAACAC
rnacentral:rRNA from 1 species